rnacentral:rRNA from 1 species
ACGAACGCUGGCGGCGUGCUUAACACAUGCACGUCGAACGGAAAGGCCCUGCUUUUGUGGGGUGCUCGAGUGGCGAACGGGUGAGUAACACGUGAGUAACCUGCCCUUGACUUUGGGAUAACUUCAGGAAACUGGGGCUAAUACCGGAUAGGAGCUCCUGCUGCAUGGUUGGGGUUGGAAAGUUUCGGCGGUUGGGGAUGGACUCGCGGCUUAUCAGCUUGUUGGUGGGGUAGUGGCGUACCAAGGCUUUGACGGGUAGCCGGCCUGAGAGGGUGACCGGCCACAUUGGGACUGAGAUACGGCCCAGACUCCUACGGGAGGCAGCAGUGGGGAAUAUUGCACAAUGGGCGGAAGCCUGAUGCAGCAACGCCGCGUGCGGGAUGACGGCCUUCGGGUUGUAAACCGCUUUCGCCUGUGACGAAGCGUGAGUGACGGUAAUGGGUAAAGAAGCACCGGCUAACUACGUG